CAGAGUGGGCAGUCGGUGUCGAUC
ensembl:miRNA mir-2217.1 miscRNA